GACGAACGCUGGCGGCGUGCUUAACACAUGCAAGUCGAACGGAAAGGCCCUGCUUUUGUGGGAUGCUCGAUUGGCGAACGGGUGAGUAACACGUGAGUAACCUGCCCUUGACUUUGGGAUAACUUCAGGAAACUGGGGCUAAUACCGGAGAGGAGCUCCUGCUGCAUGGUGGUGGUUGGAAAGUUUCGGCGGUUGGGGAUGGACUCGCGGCUUAUCAGCUUGUUGGUGGGGUAGUGGCUUACCAAGGCUUUGACGGGUAGCCGGCCUGAGAGGGUGACCGGCCACCUUGGGACUGAGAUACGGACCAGACUCCUACGGGAGGCAGCAGUGGGGAAUAUUGCACAAUGGGCGGAAGCCUGAUGCAGCAACGCCGCGUGCGGGAUAACGGCCUUCGGGUUGUAAACCGCUUUCGCAUGUGACGAAGCGUGAGUGACGGUAAUGGGUAAAGAAGCACCGGCUAACUACGUG
rnacentral:rRNA from 1 species